rnacentral:rRNA from 1 species
UACAGAGGGGGCAAGCGUUGUUCGGAAUUAUUGGGCGUAAAGCGCGCGCAGGCGGUCCUUUAAGUCUGAUGUGAAAGCCCACGGCUCAACCGUGGAGGGUCAUUGGAAACUGGGGGACUUGAGUGCAGAAGAGGAAAGCGGAAUUCCACGUGUAGCGGUGAAAUGCGUAGAGAUGUGGAGGAACACCAGUGGCGAAGGCGGCAUCCUGGACCGGCAUUGACGCUGAGGCGCGAAAGCGUGGGGAGCAAACAGG